GCCCCUGUAGCUUAAACACUAAAGCAUUG
rnacentral:tRNA from 1 species